CUCGCCCUGCAGUGUUCGAUCCAGGCCAUAUAUUCCUUGAACCAAUGUAUGCAUCCAGGCCGCGGCGACCGCGGAUCGCUGUUGAGAGCGUCCUUCGCCGGACGCACCUGAUGCGACCCCUGCUGCGGCCGCUCUGAACUACACGGUUCAGGAUGCUGGUCUGCCGGCACAGGUGGGGCGCUU
rnacentral:other from 1 species